rnacentral:precursor_RNA from 15 species
GAAAGUAAACUUUCUCAAGUUCACUGGUAACUUGGCAUGGGUGGUACUAUAUGGAUUAUAGUAAUUAUAGUACUUUCUAUGGCAACUUAUUAGUAAAUUAAAGUUCACGAUUAACGAU